UACGUAGGGGGCAAGCGUUGUCCGGAAUCAUUGGGCGUAAAGAGCGUGUAGGCGGCUCGAUAAGUCUGCUGUGAAAGUCCAGGGCUCAACCCUGGAAGGCCGGUGGAAACUGUCGGGCUAGAGUCCGGAAGAGGCGAGUGGAAUUCCUGGUGUAGCGGUGAAAUGCGCAGAUAUCGGGAAGAACACCCGUGGCGAAGGCGGCUCUCUGGGACGGUACUGACGCUGAGACGCGAAAGCGUGGGGAGCAAACAGG
rnacentral:rRNA from 1 species